AUGAUGGAGAGUUUGAUCCUGGCUCAGAACGAACGCUGGCGGCGCGUCUUAAGCAUGCAAGUCGGGCGGCAGGGGGCGCUCAGGCGCCUCCGAGAGCGG
rnacentral:rRNA from 1 species